GGCCAAAAAUAUUGACUAUUUUUAAUCAUUGUUAUUCUCAGCUUCUGCCUCCCAACCAGUCCCAACCGACUCCAGGGGAACCUUCUCUCAUUCUGCAGGAACCUUUACAUCUGCAGGUCUGAUGCCAUCAUCCAUGCUGGGCCUCAUGAGUGACAUCAUCCAUGCUGGACCUUUUGGUAGCUGCAGAGCUGGAGAGGAGAAGAUAAGCUGUGAAUACCAUCAAAACUGAUAUGAAGC